AUGCCUUUUGGGGCAGCCUUGGAGUUGAGUGUUAUAGAGGUAGAGCUACUGAUUGGACUAGGGGGCUUCACCGCCUACCAAAUCCUGAUAAACUCCGAAUGCUAUAACAUAUAUCCAGGAGUGAGCGUAUGGGUGCUAAGGUCCGUACGCGAGAGGGAAACAACCCAGACCAUCAGCUAAGGUCCCCAAAUAUAUACUAAGUUGAUCAAACGAGGUCUGAUUGCUUUGACAGCUAGGAUGUUGGCUUGGAAGCAGCCAUUCAUUUAAAGAGUGCGUAACAGCUCACUAGUCGAGCGAUCGGGCGUGGAUAAUACUCGGGCAUUAAGUAUAUUACCGAAGCUAUGGAUUACCGCAAAUGCGGUACUGGUAGGGGAGCAUUCCAGUGGCAUCGAAGGUGUGUCGUGAGGCAUGCUGGAGCGGCUGGAAAAGAAAAUGUAGGCAUAAGUAACGAUAAUGCGGGUGAGAAACCCGCACACCGAAAGACUAAGGUUUCCUGAUCAACGCUAAUCGGAUCAGGGUUAGUCGGGGCCUAAGACAAACCCGAAAGGGGUAGUCGAUGGACAACUGUUUAAUAUUACAGUACCAGCUUUCAUUAAAAAGGGGACGGAACGUUAUAAGAUUCGCGUACUGACGGAAUAGUACGUUAAAUCCUGCUAGGCAGGAGAUAGUACACCAAGCCUUCGGGUGAGGUGAUAGUAAUCGGAUCGUGUUUCCAAGAAAAGCCGGAGAAAGCUGCCCGUACCGCAAACCGACACAGGUAGUCGAGGAGAGAAUCCAAAGGUGCUCGAGUGAAUCAUGGCUAAGGAACUAGGCGAAUUAACCCUGUAACUUCGGGAGAAAGGGUCCCUACAGCAAUGUAGGGCGCAGUGAAACGGCCCAGGCGACUGUUUAUCAAAAACACAUGGCUCUGCUAAAUCGAAAGAUGACGUGUAGGGCCUGACACCUGCCCGGUGCUGGAAGGUUAAGAGGAGAGGUUAGGAGUAAUCCGAAGCUUUGAAUUGAAGCCCCAGUAAACGGCGGCCGUAACGAUAACGGUCCUAAGGUAGCGAAAUUCCUUGUCGGGUAAGUUCCGACCUGCACGAAUGGUGUAACGAUCUGGGCACUGUCUCAGCCAUGAACUCGGUGAAAUUGUAGAUCCGGUGAAGAUGCCGGAUACCCGCAACGGGACGAAAAGACCCCGUGAACCUUCACUACAGCUUAACAUUGACAUUGGAUAAACAAUGUGUAGGAUAGGUGGGAGGCUGCGAAGCGGUUUCGCCAGGAAUCGUGGAGCCACCGUUGAAAUACCACCCUUUGUUUAUUCGAUGCCUAAUCCCGGUUAUUCGGGAGACAGUGUUUGGUGGGUAGUUUGACUGGGGUGGUCGCCUCCAAAAGCGUAUCGGAGGCUUCCAAAGGUACCCUCAGCAUGCUUGGUAACC
rnacentral:rRNA from 1 species